UGGGGAAUAUUGCACAAUGGGCGAAAGCCUGAUGCAGCCAUGCCGCGUGUGUGAAGAAGGCUCUAGGGUUGUAAAGCACUUUCAGUAGGGAGGAAAUGUUAACGGUUAAUACCCGUUAGCUUUGACGUUACCUACAGAAGAAGCACCGGCAAACUCCGUGCCAGCAGCCGCGGUAAUACGGAGGGUGCGAGCGUUAAUCGGAAUUACUGGGCGUAAAGCGCGCGUAGGUGGUUUGAUAAGCUAGCUGUGAAAGCCCCGGGCUCAACCUGGGAACUGCAGUUAGAACUGUCUGACUAGAGUACAGUAGAGGGUGGCGGAAUUUCCUGUGUAGCGGUGAAAUGCGUAGAUAUAGGAAGGAACAUCAGUGGCGAAGGCGGCCACCUGGACUGAUACUGACACUGAGGUGCGAAAGCGUGGGGAGCAAACAGG
rnacentral:rRNA from 1 species